UGGAAACAAUCCUUAUGGUUUUCAUAUCCGGUUAGAAUAAUAAGAAAGAAUCAAAGUCCAGGUUGGUUGGUGAGCCUAUUUUUUUGUGUUUCUUAA
rnacentral:rRNA from 1 species